ACCGGGCAUGGUGGCACACGCCUGUAAUCCCAGGAGCUUGGGAGGCUGAGACAGGAGGGUCGCGAGUCCAAAUCCACCUCAGCAAAAUAAGUGAGGUGCUCAGUGAGACCCUGUCUCUC
rnacentral:SRP_RNA from 1 species